GGAGCAAAUCCAACCCUGGGGCAGGAGGAAACACUGAGUCUUCUCAGUGUUACUUCCUGCAAGGCAAUAGUUAUUAGUUUGUGAGUUCUGGGAGUGAGACUGUGUUGCUCUGAGAGGGCUUAUGAGAAAGGCUGGGGCGUGGGAUGCGCCUUGACGUCAUCGGCGUUGCCAAGGACGCGACGCCGUAAACCCGGAAGCGGCGGUGAAGCUUGGAGAGGAAGAGUGGUCUUUCGUUUUGUUAUCGGUGCGUUGGAAGGGUGUGUUUUGCUGAGAGAGAGCGAUCCUCUGGCAAGGCACCGUAGUUUACGGCCGAGGGAAGUCGGGUCACGGUAGAUUCGCCCGAGGCUGCUGGCAGGAGGGAGGUCGGUCGGGCGCCGGAGAACUUCCCUGGACCUGUUGGGGGCGAAGGCCCGAUGGUGUUGGAGCUGUCGGUGGAUGAAGUCUGGGAGUGUCAGAGCACAUGGAUUGUUGAGCAUAGCCGCGGUGGCUGACGAGAAGGAAUGGUAGGCGAGGAAGAGGACUCGGAGAUUUCCAGUUAAAAAACGCCCAUAGAACUGGCACAGGGGGCGGCCCACCAAGCCAGGAUAUGACCCCCCAGCGGAGGAGCUGGCACUCCGUUUAAAUAAAGGGAGGGGGAUCCAGGGAGGGACAGUAACAGACUCUGUACCAGCCACAGAAACUGUCCGUUCAUACAAGCGUCUGGGAACACGCUUUUGGAGCCACCAGAAGAUGAUCCGAUGUGUAUAUGGCAGGGGGAAGGCACAUCUGCAGCUGCAGAAUGCACUUCUGCAGAUGAGGAGACUGUCACUGGACUCCAGAAGGCUUGAGGACCCAGAUGCUGCACAGUCUCCUAAGUAGCCUGGUAACAUUACUUCACAAACUGUCAGGAGACUAUACGCAAGCACCUGGAGAGACAGAGCUGGGAGACGUUAAAAUCAAACUCAAGAAAUGAAAGCUCCAAGAAAUGGAGCUGGAUCUUGAGAUUAAACGCCGGACACUCAGGAAACUGGACCUGGAAAUCCAGAAACUAGAAAGAGAAGAUCCAAGGAACCAAGACAAAUGAGGACUGCCAAAUAAAAAAAAAAAAAAAUUCAACUAGAAAACACUGUGGUGCCCUCCCUUCAUGAAUAUGAAGUAGAAUUGAAAAGAUAACCACCAAUGUUAAACAAAAUGCACACACAGCAAAAAGUAACAUUUAAGAUAUUUUAUUAACUAAAGAUGGGCUAAAUUAAAAAAUAAAAUAAAAAAUUGCAAUUUAUUGCUCCCUGACGAGUCUGCCAUUAAUGAGAUUUAAAUGAAAUGAGAAAUGACAAUAUAUAUGUAAUAUUUUAAUGCAGGACAAUUAAAAUGAUGCAACAUACUAAGAAAGACCUUGGACAUGCUGUAAAACACAUUAAUUCCUCACAGGACUGAAGGUGGAAAUACAGGUGAAUCACUAGGAUUAAUCUUAGCCUGGCUGUUAGCCUGGUCUCGAGCAGGCUAGCUGCAGAGAAUAAAUCACCAUAGUAACUUGGCCAGGUUAAGUUUGACAUGCUUUCAUACAACCGACUUGAGGCUAAAUUCAGCCAGGAUAACCAACAUAUCCCGGCUUAAUCCCUUAUCCUGGUUUUGUGCAAUACCCCUCAGGAGGAUAAAAAGUGCAAAACAAUAGCUCACGAGGAGAUCAAAAAAGUUUAACACAAAACGUGAAAAACUCUGGAACACUUGACAAUACUUCUCCCACAAUGAACAAGACAAACUGACAAAGGGAGACAAGGACUAUUUAUACCAGGUGUAAGUGAAAACAGGUGAAAACAAUCAGGGGGCAGGGCAGACAAUUACAAAGGAGGGAAAAUCACACAAAAGGAGGAAGUCAGGGUCUGAAAUGUGAGGGAAAAGGUGAGUACAAAAUAAAAUAGGAAGGACUAAACAUGAAACACUAAACAUGAACAUGACACUACACAUUAACACACUUGACGAGACACAACACAUCAUACUUCCAGCAGAGGAUGCUGCUGCUCUUCACAUGGUAGGCCUUUCCUGUUGAAGAUGCUGUUGAUCUGUCAAUACAAUUGAGACCAAAAAGUCUUGGAUCCCUUCGUUUGUGGUUCUUCCUGAGGAAGUGUUGGAGGUAGUGUUUCCUUACCCAUAAUGAGGUGUCUGAUGCUUUAAAUAUUUGUAAAGCCUCCUGAGGCAAAUUUGCGAUUAUGGUAAAUCUAAAUCAAAUUUGUAUUGCUGUGUAUGUUCUUGCAGUCAUAUUCAUUCCUGUCUUUGCUGCCACCUGUAGAUAAAUGCAAUAGCAUGAAACCAUUGGCAGGAAUGUGUAUUGCAUCCCAACAAAUUGAGAACAAACAAUAAGGGCACGCUACUUCAAAUGGUCAAAAAUCCCACAAGGCAUGGAAGUAAAAAAAAAAAAGGUCAACAUUUGUUAGAAUUUGAUGAUAUUAAGUAGUGUUGAAGCAUGUCCUAUAAAGUUCAUAAAAAUAAUAAUAGGGUAAAGUCAAACACUGUUCAUCUAGGUUUCAACAAUCAGUGCACGAUUGCAUAAUAAAAGCAUUUAAUUUGCUUUACCAUCUCCUUCAAACAGCAGAUGAAAGAUAAAAGCAGCACAUAAAGUCACAUCUUAAGUUACCUAAUAUCAGCAAAAUGCCCACUAACUAGCUUGCUUAUGUAAAUCAAUCUUUAGCUAUCUAGUUAGCUGACUAGUUAAGUAGUGGCUAAUGUUUUACUUCACAGCAAAACACGAACAAACAAUUGAUGUUGAUAAGCUGGUGUAACCGUGGUUAGUUAAACCCCAGUUUAUCUCUAAUUGUGUGUGUGUGUGUGUGUGUGUGUGUGUGUGUGUGUGUGUGUGUGUGUGUGUGUGUGUGAUAAAACUAAGUCAGAAGUCUGAAAACUGAGAGAUAAGUUGAACAUGGAUGUAGAAGAGGCGAUCGACGAGCUGCGACUUCAAGUAGGACGGAGUAGAACUGUUUAGAGUUGUAAACAAUUCCCUGGCUGUUUUUUUUUUUUUUAGAGUCUUUCGAUUGGGUCCUCGGUUCCUCUACCAUCUUCUGCUGUCAUCCAUAUGCAUCUCCAUCCUGGUUGCUACUCACCUUCGGAAAAGGGGUCAUCCACGUCCACAUCUCCAUAUCUUUCCCAUCACAAUACUCACUUUGGAUAUUCACUGUGGAAGAGGGCGGUAGGACUUUGAGUGCACUGAUUUUUUUCCCCUUUACUUUUUAUUUUUUUAUUCAUUUUUUUUUAUUCAUUUGAACUUUUGGGACAAUUUCCUUUUUCAUACCUGAGAUCUCAGAGGUUUUUUUUAUUAUUUUAUUUUGGUUCAAAAUAUUAAGAUUGGACAAUUGGGGUUCAACAAAGGUACUUAAAAGAACUGUGUAUUGUGAAUCCAACUUUGAGUUGAUGAUAUAGGUACUAUAGUAUUAUAAUGCAGUAUUCACUUUAAUUUACUUACCUUUUUGAGAUACUGUGUUGUGAAGGAUCUUCACUGGGUUCAAUAUACUUCCUUUAAAAUUGUCAGUCUGUUGUCGUGUGUGUUAUUUGGGGUAGAUAUUGCAGGUCUAAUUCAACAAUUAGGCAGGUAAAUCUCAGCAGUCUCCUAAUCCAAUCUAGAAUCAAAGUCAACCCUCAUUUUCCUAUUAGAUAUUUAGCACUGUCUUAAAGUGACAGGUGCAGGUAGGGGGUUACACUAGCUAGGUGGAUAGCAUUGGCUAAUUUAAGAUGUUUGUUUUAUUUUUUAAUGAUUGAUAAUGCUUUUUGAAUGUUGUUGUCUUUUCAACAUAGACUAGCUUAGCACACAGCAUAAGUAGGCUACAGGAAGACAAUUGACCAAAGUUCCAAAAGGCGUUUGACUUAAGGAAGGAAUUUUAUUGUAUUUUCUCAUAAAUUUAAGAAAUAAUUAAAAUUUAAAACUAAGUUUGCUGACUAAGGUCUUCAAUAAAUAGUGCAAAAGUAAUUUGUGACAACUUAUUAACUGCAAAAUAUUUAUUGUAAACAAUCUCCUAAAAAAAGUAUGUAAUUACAGACAAAAUGAGGACAUUAACUGAUAAACUGAUUCACUGUUCUCUGAAUAAGAACAUUUCAGAGUCCUCCCAUCACAGAUUAACUAUAGAGACCUCCAGGAGGGGCAAGUGUGAAAUCUGACAUAUCAGAGAUCAGCAGUGCUUACAUACGCCAUCAUACAUCCACAUACACACAAUAAAAUAUAUUAUAAUAUUAGCUUACUGACAGCAUCUAAAAUCUUCAUACAAAUUCUUCAGUUUUUAUCACUUCAUUUACAGCAUGACACUGUAUUUAACACCUUCAGUCUU